rnacentral:rRNA from 1 species
GAUGAACGCUGGCGGCGUGCCUAAUACAUGCAAGUCGAGCGAACAGACGAGGAGCUUGCUCCUCUGACGUUAGCGGCGGACGGGUGAGUAACACGUGGAUAACCUACCUAUAAGACUGGGAUAACUUCGGGACACCGGAGCUAAUACCGGAUAAUAUAUUGAACCGCAUGGUUCAAUAGUGAAAGACGGCUUUGCUGUCACUUAUAGAUGGAUCCGCGCCGCAUUAGCUAGUUGGUAAGGUAACGGCUUACCAAGGCAACGAUGCGUAGCCGACCUGAGAGGCUGAUCGGCCACACGGGAGCUGAGACACGGUCCAGACUCCUACGGGAGGCAGCAGUAGGGAAUCUUCCGCAAUGGGCGAAAGCCUGACGGAGCAACGCCGCGUGAGUGAUGAAGGUCUUCGGAUCGUAAAACUCUGUUAUUAGGGAAGAACAAAUGUGUAAGUAACUAUGCACGUCUUGACGGUACCUAAUCAGAAAGCCACGGCUAACUACGUG